CUCCCUUUGACAUCUACAGAAGCCGAAGAGAUUCUGGGGUGCCUUCGGGAACUGUAAGACAGGUGCUGCAUGGCUGUCGUCAGCUCGUGUUGUGAAAUGUUGGGUUAAGUCCCGUAACGAGCGCAACCCUUGUCCUUAUUUGCCAGCGAGUAAUGGCGGGAACUCUAAGGAGACUGCCGGUGACAAACCGGAGGAAGGUGGGGACGACGUCAAGUCAUCAUGGCCCUUACGGGUAGGGCUACACACGUGCUACAAUGGUCGGUACAAAGGGUUGCCAGCUCGCGAGAGUCAGCUAAUCCCUUAAAGUCGGUCUCAGUCCGGAUCGGAGUCUGCAACUCGACUCCGUGAAGUCGGAAUCGCUAGUAAUCGUGAAUCAGAAUGCCACGGUGAAUACGUUCCCGGGCCUUGUACACACCGCCCG
rnacentral:rRNA from 1 species